rnacentral:tRNA from 1 species
CGGGGUGUAGCUUAGUUGGAUAAAGUGCACGGCUGGGGGUCGUGAGAUCGGCAGUUCAAGUCUGCCCACCCCGACCA